GGGGAGGAGCCCAGAGCCUGAAUCAGUGUGUGUGUUAGUGGAAGCGUCUGGAAAGGCGCGCGAUACAGGGUGACAGCCCCGUACACAAAAAUGCACAUAUUGUGAGCUCGAUGAGUAGGGCGGGACACGUGGUAUCCUGUCUGAAUAUGGGGGGACCAUCCUCCAAGGCUAAAUACUCCUGACUGACCGAUAGUGAACCAGUACCGUGAGGGAAAGGCGAAAAGAACCCCGGCGAGGGGAGUGAAAAAGAACCUGAAACCGUGUACGUACAAGCAGUGGGAGCCUCUUAAUGGGGUGACUGCGUACCUUUUGUAUAAUGGGUCAGCGACUUAUAUUCUGUAGCAAGGUUAACCGAAUAGGGGAGCCGAAGGGAAACCGAGUCUUAACUGGGCGUUAAGUUGCAGGGUAUAGACCCGAAACCCGGUGAUCUAGCCAUGGGCAGGUUGAAGGUUGGGUAACACUAACUGGAGGACCGAACCGACUAAUGUUGAAAAAUUAGCGGAUGACUUGUGGCUGGGGGUGAAAGGCCAAUCAAACCGGGAGAUAGCUGGUUCUCCCCGAAAGCUAUUUAGGUAGCGCCUCGUGAAUUCAUCUCCGGGGGUAGAGCACUGUUUCGGCAAGGGGGUCAUCCCGACUUACCAACCCGAUGCAAACUGCGAAUACCGGAGAAUGUUAUCACGGGAGACACACGGCGGGUGCUAACGUCCGUCGUGAAGAGGGAAACAACCCAGACCGCCAGCUAAGGUCCCAAAGUCAUGGUUAAGUGGGAAACGAUGUGGGAAGGCCCAGACAGCCAGGAUGUUGGCUUAGAAGCAGCCAUCAUUUAAAGAAAGCGUAAUAGCUCACUGGUCGAGUCGGCCUGCGCGGAAGAUGUAACGGGGCUAAACCAUG
rnacentral:rRNA from 1 species